UACGAAGGGAGCGAGCGUUGUUCGGAAUCACUGGGCUUAAAGCGUGCGUAGGCGGAUAUGUAAGUCAGAAGUGAAAUCCCGGGGCCUAACCCCGGAACUGCUUUUGAGACUGCAAGUCUAGAAUUCGGUAGAGGUUAGUGGAAUAUCCAGUGUAGAGGUGAAAUUCGCAGAUAUUGGAUGGAACACCAGUGGCGAAGGCGACUAACUGGGCCGACAUUGACGCUGAGGCACGAAAGCGUGGGUAGCAAACAGG
rnacentral:rRNA from 1 species